AGGGUGCAGGGCGGAUGCCUUGGCACUAGGAGCCGAUGAAGGACGUGAUAAGCUGCGAUAAGCUUCGGGGAGUUGCACGUAAACUUUGAUCCGAAGAUUUCCGAAUGAGGAAACUCACUUAGAGUAAUGUCUAAGUAUCAUUAAGUGAAUACAUAGCUUAAUGAGGGGAACUCAGGGAACUGAAACAUCUAAGUACCUGAAGGAAGAGAAAGAAAUUCGAUUCCGUAAGUAGCGGCGAGCGAACGCGGAUUAGCCCAAACCAAUAAAGUUUUCUUUAUUGGGGUUGCGGACAUAUCAUAACGAAGAGGUAUCGUAAUUGAAGAGGUUUGGAAAGACCCACCACAGAAGGUAAUAGUCCUGUAUGUUAAACGAGAAGACUUCAGAUAUGAUCCAGAGUACCACGGGACACGUGAAACCCUGUGGGAAGCAGGAGGGACCACCCUCCAAGGCUAAAUACUACCUAGUGACCGAUAGCGUAUAGUACCGUGAGGGAAAGGUGAAAAGAACCCCGGGAGGGGAGUGAAAUAGAACCUGAAACCCUGCACUUACAAGCUGUGGAAGCACAUUUCUUGUGUGACCGCGUACUUUUUGUAGAACGGGCCAACGAGUUACGUUAAGUAGCAAGGUUAAGCACUUAAGGUGCGGAGCCGUAGCGAAAGCGAGUUUUAACUGAGCGUUCAGUUACUUGACGUAGACCCGAAACCGGGCGACCUACCCAUGAGCAGGAUGAAGCGAAAGUAAAAUUUCGUGGAGGUCCGAACCCACGAGCGUUGAAAAGCUCGGGGAUGACUUGUGGGUAGCGGUGAAAUUCCAAUCGAGCCCGGAGAUAGCUGGUUCUCCCCGAAAUAGCUUUAGGGCUAGCCUCAAGGUGAGAGAUACGGAGGUAGAGCACUGAAUGUCCUAGGGGGUAUUGCACCUACCGAAGACUAUCAAACUCCGAAUGCCGUCAUCUUAUACUUGGGAGUCAGACUGUGGGUGAUAAGAUUCAUAGUCGAAAGGGCAACAGCCCAGAUCGUCAGCUAAGGUCCCUAAAUGUAAGUUAAGUGGUAAAGGAUGUGGGAUUGCACAGACAACCAGGAUGUUGGCUUAGAAGCAGCCACUCAUUCAAAGAGUGCGUAAUAGCUCACUGGUCGAGUGAUCCUGCGCCGAAGAUUUCCGGGGCUAAAACUUACUACCGAAGCUACGGCAUCAGUAAUGAUGGGUAGGGGAGCUUCCCAUACGGGUUGAAGCAUGACCGUAAGGACAUGUGGACAGUAUGGGAGUGAGAAUGUUGGCAUGAGUAGCGAGAUGUGGGUGAGAAUCCCACAGGCCGUAAACCCAAGGUUUCCAGGGGAAGGUUCGUCCGCCCUGGGUUAGUCGGGACCUAAGCUGAGGCCGAAAGGCGUAGGUGAUGGACAACAGGUUGAUAUUCCUGUACUACCGAUAACCGUUUGAGAGAAGGGAUGACACAGUAGGAUAAGCUAAGCACACUGUUGGUUAUGUGUGCCCAAGCAUUGAGGCAGUCAAAGUAGGCAAAUCCGCUUUGAUAAUGCUGGGAUGUGAUGGGGAGCGAAAUUUAGUAGCGAAGUAGCUGAUUUCACACUGUCAAGAAAAGUCUCUAUCGAGGUUAAAGGUACCCGUACCGCAAACCGACACAGGUGGGUGAGGAGAGUAUCCUAAGGCCAGCGAGAGAACUGUUGUUAAGGAACUCGGCAAAAUGACCCCGUAACUUAGGGAUAAGGGGUGCCACCAUCAGGUGGCCGCAGAGAAUAGGCCCAAGCGACUGUUUACCAAAAACAUAGGUUUCUGCUAAGUCGCAAGACGAUGUAUAGGAGCUGACGCCUGCCCGGUGCUGGAAGGUUAAGGGGAUCUGUUAGAGCAAUCGAAGCAGUGAACUUAAGCCCCAGUAAACGGCGGCCGUAACUAUAACGGUCCUAAGGUAGCGAAAUUCCUUGUCGGGUAAGUUCCGACCCGCACGAAAGGCGUAACGAUUUGGGCACUGUCUCAACAACAGACUCGGUGAAAUUGUAAUUCCGGUGAAGAUGCCGGAUACCUGCGACAGGACGGAAAGACCCCAUGGAGCUUUACUGUAGCUUGACAUUGGGUUUUGGUACUACAUGUACAGGAUAGGUGGGAGGCUUUGAAACCAGGACGCCAGUUUUGGCGGAGCCAUCCUUGGGAUACCACCCUUGUAGUACUGGGACUCUAACCAUAGGCCAUGAAUCUGGUCUUGGGACACUGUCAGGCGGGCAGUUUGACUGGGGCGGUCGCCUCCCAAAAGGUAACGGAGGCGCUCAAAGGUUCUCUCAGUACGGUCGGAAAUCGUACGUAGAGUGUAAAGGCAAAAGAGAGCUUGAUUGCAAGACAUACAGGUCGAGCAAGGAUGAAAAUCGGACUUAGUGAUCCGGUGGUUCUGCGUGGAAGGGCCAUCGCUCAACGGAUAAAAGCUACCCUGGGGAUAACAGGCUUAUCUCCCCCAAGAGUCCACAUCGACGGGGAGGUUUGGCACCUCGAUGUCGGCUCAUCACAUCCUGGGGCUGUAGUAGGUCCCAAGGGUUGGGCUGUUCGCCCAUUAAAGUGGUACGCGAGCUGGGUUCAGAACGUCGUGAGACAGUUCGGUCCCUAUCCGUCGCAGGCGUAGGAAAUUUGAGAAGACCUGUCCUUAGUACGAGAGGACCGGGAUGGACGUACCUCUGGUGUACCAGUUGUUCUGCCAAGGGCAUGGCUGGGUAGCUAUGUACGGAAUGGAUAAGCGCUGAAAGCAU
rnacentral:rRNA from 1 species